CAAUAAACAGGCAAUCACGUGAGCUCAGCAUUACAAAAUGGACGGGAGUAACUCUGUAGAAGUGGAUGACUUGAGGCGACAGUGCAGCUUAAAUUCAAAUAUGGAGUGUUGGACUUAGUAAGAAGCAUUCACUAUGAAGACGGCACAAAUGGCCACUCCAAGUGGUUGCGCCUGACUUUUCGCAACACAUUGAAACCAAGUGGAACAGGAUGGAGAGCUAAAACUCCAUGACUAGAUAAGUGAAGCAUCUGGGGAUGGCAGAAAGAUGUUGAUUGUCCUGAGGAAGAAUAUUAACUGACUGUCCAGAUACUUGUGGUGUCUCUGCCAGAGAAUGUUACCCUGUGGAUCAACAGCCUUGUGGUUUACACUGAAGAGCAUCCGGGGAUGGCAGAAAGUUUUUGAUUCUUCGAAGACUCGGCCUACUGUCCUGAUGACAAACUACUUGGUUUGAGGUUUGUAAUAUUGUUGGAGCAAUUGUCAAUGUUAUUAAAUCCUGCAAAUGCUAACGUUGCUAUGUAAGAAAUAAGUGCUGACAUGUUUGAAGUACUUGAUUCAUUUUUGUGUUGCAACUGAACUUUAACUUUAGCUUUAGACUACUUCACAAAAACGUCUUUAUAAAUCAUAUUCCUUGGGUCUGACUGAAGAUUUGCACUCAGACUGAUGUGCAGUCACAGUAGACCCAUCCUGAUGACCUGUGAUGACACUUAACUGUGCACAGGGGCCAUCUGAAUUAGGGGUGUCCUGAUCUGAUACUGAUAUCGAGCCGAUAUCGGCAAAAAAAAACAAACCCUGAUUAUAUCAGCCUGCAUCUAAGCAGUCGAUUCCGGACUCUGCCCCAGCACAUCUACUGUAUGUAGCAGCGGCCAGAUAGAAGCUGUGUGAUGGCAUGUGCCAAUGUAGCAAGGAGCAGGAGUGUGUAUUUUUCGUUAGUAUGAAAAAGACGUUGCAGCUGAGUGCAAAACUUGUUAUGCAUAAAUUUCCCAUGGAUGCACAGAACCGAGGAAGUUUAAUAUGACCAAACUCACUGCGCACUUGAAGCAGCAUCACAUGGGAAAGUUCCCUGGGACGACAAGAAGUAAUUGGCAAUGUCAGCAAAGAUGACCAGUGCCUGUGGGAGGUGUGUAAAGUCGGGUUUAAUGCUUAGUUGAGCUCCUCGAACCUCAUUUUAUUAUGCCCAGCUGCCACUGUACUGUUGAUAAAACUAUACUCCACAUGCAUAGAGAAGUAAAUGGGUCAGUUUUUCCUCAUACCUACUGUUGCUGGUUAUUCUCUUUGGGUAAUAUCACUUGGUCAAGACUUUGCUAACAUGCCACACUACAAAAUAAGUAAUAAUGAUUGGUGCUGAUAACAGAUUGAUAUUGGUACUUCUGAUAUUCAAAGAUGCAAUAUCUGUAUCGGAUUGGAAGUGAAAAAGUUGUAUCAGGACACCCCCAAUCUGAAUCCCCACCCCACACCUGGCAGAAGAGUUGUGCACAGUUAGUUGGUAUAGUUGGAAUUACUGACCAUGCUUUUGUAGUUCUCUGCAAUAAAGGUUUUGACAAA